rnacentral:rRNA from 1 species
GGUAUGUAAAGCUCUAUCAGCAGGGAAGAAAAUGACGGUACCUGACUAAGAAGCCCCGGCUAACUACGUGCCAGCAGCCGCGGUAAUACGUAGGGGGCAAGCGUUAUCCGGAUUUACUGGGUGUAAAGGGAGCGUAGACGGCAGCGCAAGUCUGAAGUGAAAGCCCGGGGCUCAACCCCGGAAUGGCUUUGGAAACUGUGCAGCUAGAGUACCGGAGGGGUAAGCGGAAUUCCUAGUGUAGCGGUGAAAUGCGUAGAUAUUAGGAGGAACACCAGUGGCGAAGGCGGCUUACUGGACGGCAACUGACGUUGAGGCUCGAAAGCGUGGGGAGCAAACAGGAUUAGAUACCCUGGUAGUCCACGCGGUAAA